GAACGCAUCUUGCGCUCCUUGGUAUUCUGAGGAGCAUGCCUGUUUGAGUGUCAUUAAAUUCUCAACUACACUGACUUUGAAUUGGUGUGGCUUGGAUUUGGGGGGGAAAUUUGUUGUGGGCUUUUUGUAUAGUCUGCUCCCCUGAAAUUGAUUAGCGGUACCUUUGUGGAACUGUCUACAGGUGUGAUAAUUAUCUACAUCCUAGACAUCUGCUGGAAUGCUGCUUUCUAAACCUUACUUGUAUUGACAAUCUUGACCUCAAAUCAGGUAGGACUACCCGCUGAACUUAAG
rnacentral:misc_RNA from 1 species